GAUGAACGCUAGCGGCAGGCCUAAUACAUGCAAGUCGAGGGGCAGCGCGGUAGCAAUACUGGCGGCGACCGGCGCACGGGUGCGUAACACGUAUGCAACCUACCUUCAACUGGAGGAUAGCCCGGGGAAACUCGGAUUAAUACUCCAUAACACAGGGAUCCCGCAUGGGAAUAUUGUUAAAGCUACGGCGGUUGAAGAUGGGCAUGCGUUCGAUUAGCUAGUUGGUGUAGGUAACGGCUCACCAAGGCUACGAUCGAUAGGGGGUCUGAGAGGAUGAUCCCCCACACUGGUACUGAGAUACGGACCAGACUCCUACGGGAGCAGCAGUAGGGAAUAUUGGUCAAUGGGCGCAAGCCUGAACCAGCCAUGCCGCGUGCAGGAAGAAGGGCCCCUCUGGGGUUGUAAACUGCUUUUGAUAGGGAACAAAUGCCACUUGCGAGUGGAGCUGAGUGUACCUAUAGAAUAAGCACCGGCUAACUCCGUGCCAGCAGCCGACGG
rnacentral:rRNA from 1 species